rnacentral:rRNA from 1 species
UAGAGUUUGAUCCUGGCUCAGGAUGAACGCUAGCGGCAGGCUUAACACAUGCAAGUCGAGGGGCAUCGGGAGGGAAGCUUGCUUUCCUUGCCGGCGACCGGCGCACGGGUGAGUAACACGUAUGCAACCUGCCCUCUUCAGGGGGACAACCUUCCGAAAGGGAGGCUAAUCCCGCGUAUAUCGGUUUCGGGCAUCCGAGAUCGAGGAAAGAUUCAUCGGAAGAGGAUGGGCAUGCGGCGCAUUAGCUUGACGGCGGGGUAACGGCCCACCGUGGCGACGAUGCGUAGGGGUUCUGAGAGGAAGGUCCCCCACACUGGUACUGAGACACGGACCAGACUCCUACGGGAGGCAGCAGUGAGGAAUAUUGGUCAAUGGGAGAGAUCCUGAACCAGCCAAGCCGCGUGAGGGAAGACGGCCCUAUGGGUUGUAAACCUCUUUUGUCGGAGAACAAAACCCGGGACGUGUCCCGGACUGCGUGUAUCCGAAGAAAAAGCAUCGGCUAACUCCGUGCCAGCAGCCGCGGUAAUACGGAGGAUGCGAGCGUUAUCCGGAUUUAUUGGGUUUAAAGGGUGCGUAGGCGGUCCGUUAAGUCAGCGGUAAAAUUGCGGGGCUCAACCCCGUCGAGCCGUUGAAACUGGCAGACUUGAGUUGGCGAGAAGUACGCGGAAUGCGCGGUGUAGCGGUGAAAUGCAUAGAUAUCGCGCAGAACUCCGAUUGCGAAGGCAGCGUACCGGCGCCACACUGACGCUGAGGCACGAAAGCGUGGGGAUCGAACAGGAUUAGAUACCCUG